rnacentral:rRNA from 1 species
GAUAAACGCUGGCGGCGUGCCUAACACAUGCAAGUCGAACGAGAACGGGUCUAGCUUGCUAGAUUGUCAGCUAAGUGGCGAACGGGUGAGUAAUGUAUAGCUAAUGUGCCCUUUACUGGGGGAUAACAGUUGGAAACGACUGCUAAUACCCCAUACUCCUUCUUUACAUAUGUAUAGUCGGGAAAGUUUUUUCGGUAAAGGAUCGGGCUAUAUGGUAUCAGCUUGUUGGUGAGGUAAGAGCUCACCAAGGCUAUGACGCCUAUCUGGUCUGAGAGGAUGAUCAGACACACUGGAACUGAGACACGGUCCAGACUCCUACGGGAGGCAGCAGUGGGGAAUAUUGCACAAUGGACGAAAGUCUGAUGCAGCAACGCCGCGUGGAGGAUGACACAUUUCGGUGCGUAAACUCCUUUUAUGUGAGAAGAUAAUGACGGUAUCACAUGAAUAAGCACCGGCUAACUCCGUGCCAGCAGCCGCGGUAAUACGGAGGGUGCAAGCGUUACUCGGAAUCACUGGGCGUAAAGCGCGCGCAGGCGGCUUUGUAAGUUGGAUGUGAAAUCCUAUGGCUCAACCAUAGAACUGCAUCCAAAACUACUUAGCUAGAGUCUGGGAGGGGAAGAUGGAUAGUGGGUGUGUAGAAGGGGUAAAAUCCGUAAAGAUCACUAGGGAAUACCAAAAGCGAAGGGCGAUCUUCUGGAACAGUACUGACGCUGAGGCGCGAAAGCGUGGGGAGCAAACA